AGUCGAACGGUGAAGCCAAGCUUGCUUGGUGGAUCAGUGGCGAACGGGUGAGUAACACGUGAGCAACCUGCCCUGGACUCUGGGAUAAGCGCUGGAAACGGCGUCUAAUACUGGAUAUGAGCUCUCAUCGCAUGGUGGGGGUUGGAAAGAUUUUUCGGUCUGGGAUGGGCUCGCGGCCUAUCAGCUUGUUGGUGAGGUAAUGGCUCACCAAGGCGUCGACGGGUAGCCGGCCUGAGAGGGUGACCGGCCACACUGGGACUGAGACACGGCCCAGACUCCUACGGGAGGCAGCAGUGGGGAAUAUUGCACAAUGGGCGGAAGCCUGAUGCAGCAACGCCGCGUGAGGGAUGACGGCCUUCGGGUUGUAAACCUCUUUUAGCAGGGAAGAAGCGAGAGUGACGGUACCUGCAGAAAAAGCGCCGGCUAACUACGUGCCAGCAGCCGCGGUAAUACGUAGGGCGCAAGCGUUAUCCGGAAUUAUUGGGCGUAAAGAGCUCGUAGGCGGUUUGUCGCGUCUGCUGUGAAAUCCCGAGGCUCAACCUCGGGCCUGCAGUGGGUACGGGCAGACUAGAGUGCGGUAGGGGAGAUUGGAAUUCCUGGUGUAGCGGUGGAAUGCGCAGAUAUCAGGAGGAACACCGAUGGCGAAGGCAGAUCUCUGGGCCGUAACUGACGCUGAGGAGCGAAAGGGUGGGGAGCAAACAGGCUUAGAUACCCUGGUAGUCCACCCCGUAAACGUUGGGAACUAGUUGUGGGGACCAUUCCACGGUUUCCGUGACGCAGCUAACGCAUUAAGUUCCCCGCCUGGGGAGUACGGCCGCAAGGCUAAAACUCAAAGGAAUUGACGGGGACCCGCACAAGCGGCGGAGCAUGCGGAUUAAUUCGAUGCAACGCGAAGAACCUUACCAAGGCUUGACAUACACCAGAACACCGUAGAAAUACGGGACUCUUUGGACACUGGUGAACAGGUGGUGCAUGGUUGUCGUCAGCUCGUGUCGUGAGAUGUUGGGUUAAGUCCCGCAACGAGCGCAACCCUCGUUCUAUGUUGCCAGCACGUAAUGGUGGGAACUCAUGGGAUACUGCCGGGGUCAACUCGGAGGAAGGUGGGGAUGACGUCAAAUCAUCAUGCCCCUUAUGUCUUGGGCUUCACGCAUGCUACAAUGGCCGGUACAAAGGGCUGCAAUACCGUGAGGUGGAGCGAAUCCCAAAAAGCCGGUCCCAGUUCGGAUUGAGGUCUGCAACUCGACCUCAUGAAGUCGGAGUCGCUAGUAAUCGCAGAUCAGCAACGCUGCGGUGAAUACGUUCCCGGGUCUUGUACACACCGCCCGUCAAGUCAUGAAAGUCGGUAACACCUGAAGCCGGUGGCCCAACCCUUGUGGAGGGAGCCGUCGAAGGUG
rnacentral:rRNA from 1 species